CUAGCUGGUCUGAGAGGAUGACCAGCCACACUGGAACUGAGACACGGUCCAGACUCCUACGGGAGGCAGCAGUGGGGAAUAUUGCACAAUGGGCGCAAGCCUGAUGCAGCCAUGCCGCGUGUAUGAAGAAGGCCUUCGGGUUGUAAAGUACUUUCAGCGGGGAGGAAGGGAGUAAAGUUAAUACCUUUGCUCAUUGACGUUACCCGCAGAAGAAGCACCGGCUAACUCCGUGCCAGCAGCCGCGGUAAUACGGAGGGUGCAAGCGUUAAUCGGAAUUACUGGGCGUAAAGCGCACGCAGGCGGUUUGUUAAGUCAGAUGUGAAAUCCCCGGGCUCAACCUGGGAACUGCAUCUGAUACUGGCAAGCUUGAGUCUCGUAGAGGGGGGUAGAAUUCCAGGUGUAGCGGUGAAAUGCGUAGAGAUCUGGAGGAAUACCGGUGGCGAAGGCGGCCCCCUGG
rnacentral:rRNA from 1 species